GAGGGUGUAGCUCAGUGGUAGAGUGUGUGCUUAGCAUGCACGAGGUCCUGGGUUCAAUCCCCAGCACCUCCA
rnacentral:tRNA from 1 species